AGGUUGGGAGAAGAAAUUGAUUUCCCUAAGACUUCACCAGGGGUAAUUGUCAGAGCUGGAAUUUGAACAAGGCCUGUUGCAACCUGACUCCAGAGCCUAAACUCCUAACUCUUGAUGAAGAAACUGAGGUCCUGAGGAGAAAUCAGAGCUGGAAUUCAGACCCAGGUCUAUCAGACCCAAGAGAUUACUCCCCUGAACCACCUUGCCUCUAGGAAGUAACUGUCUGGUAGAUCUGGGUUGGAUCAGUCAUUUUUAUGGGCAGGACAAGGUGGAAAGCAUUCUGCAUGCAUCAUCUCACGAAGCCCUAGAGCAAUUCUAGAACAUAGUGAUUGUUACUGUCCCCAUUUUACAGGUGAGGAAACUGAGACCUGGGGAGGGGUGUACCAUUCCCAUGUUUACUGAGCUAGUGAAAGGUGGAGCCUAGAUGGGAACCCAGAGAACCUGAUUUUUGAGUCCCCAAAUCUAGCUACCUAGAUGCACAGGCAUAAGAAGGUGAAGUGAGGGACUCCAGAUUCUGGCAAGAUAGACUAGGAAGGGUUGUCAACUUGGUUCUGGGGGUUGGACUAUAAGAUUAGGAGAGUCAAAUGAGAGGAGUAGAGAAAUAACUAUUGCUUGUUGAGCAACAUCCCCACUCCAGACCCUGUGUUAACUAAGCAAUAUUUGUUGAGAAGCAGGGAGCUUUGUGGGUAAGAAACUUGACACUGGAUCCAAAUUGCCUGGAUUCCUAUCCUAGCCCUGCUACUUUCUAGUUGUGAGAACUUUAGCAAGUUACUUAACCUCUCAUGGCCUUAAUUUCUUCACCUGUAAAAUGGGGAUAAUGACAACGUUCAGGACUGCUGAGAGGAUUCAAUGAACUAAUAGAACAAUGGCAUCUCUUUUUCUCCAGUGCCCUGAAACUGAGUUGGUUUCUCCCGAUCAACCAUCACCCCUCCUUGACUUUGGCAUAAACACUGAAAAUUAAGGCCAUUAUUUGCAAUGGAAAAUUCUGGGGGAGGUGUGUUCCCAGAAGAGAUAGCAAGUGCAAAAGCCCUGAGACAGGAGUGAAUUUAGUAUGUUUGAGAUACAGCAAGAAGUCUAGUUAGAGCUAGGCAGAUGACUAAGACUCAGGAGUGCAGUUCAACUGCACAGGUGUUUGAUAAAAAACGACCCUGUACUUUCUGCUUGUUAGAGCAUAAAAGACUUUUCCCCAAGCUUUGAUCUCUGGAGAAACUCAAGGCCAUGAUUACUUUUGAGGUUUCAGGAUCCAAGGUUGCUCAGGAAUU